GUCGAGCGAAUGAUGAAGAAGCUUGCUUCUUCUGAUUUAGCGGCGGACGGGUGAGUAACACGUGGGCAACCUGCCCUGUAGAUUGGGAUAACUCCGGGAAACCGGGGCUAAUACCGAAUAAUCCAUUUCCUCACAUGAGGAGAUGUUAAAAGACGGUUUCGGCUGUCACUACAGGAUGGGCCCGCGGCGCAUUAGCUAGUUGGUGAGGUAACGGCUCACCAAGGCGACGAUGCGUAGCCGACCUGAGAGGGUGAUCGGCCACACUGGGACUGAGACACGGCCCAGACUCCUACGGGAGGCAGCAGUAGGGAAUCUUCCACAAUGGACGAAAGUCUGAUGGAGCAACGCCGCGUGAGUGAAGAAGGUUUUCGGAUCGUAAAACUCUGUUGUGAGGGAAGAACAAGUACGAGAGUAACUGCUCGUACCUUGACGGUACCUCAUUAGAAAGCCACGGCUAACUACGUGCCAGCAGCCGCGGUAAUACGUAGGUGGCAAGCGUUGUCCGGAAUUAUUGGGCGUAAAGCGCGCGCAGGCGGUCCUUUAAGUCUGAUGUGAAAGCCCACGGCUCAACCGUGGAGGGUCAUUGGAAACUGGGGGACUUGAGUGCAGAAGAGGAAAGCGGAAUUCCAAGUGUAGCGGUGAAAUGCGUAGAGAUUUGGAGGAACACCAGUGGCGAAGGCGGCUUUCUGGUCUGUAACUGACGCUGAGGCGCGAAAGCGUGGGGAGCAAACAG
rnacentral:rRNA from 1 species